rfam:Burkholderia sp. STM 7183 genome assembly, contig: CYGY01000222
GGGAGCGGUGUGAGUCGAGAGGCUCACGCACCGUUCUGCGAGAGGCUGGAGGUGAAAUUCCUCUGGUCUACUCACC